UAAUCAGACCAAUAAAUGAGUUUACAUAUAUUUACGUGGAAAAGAUAGCAUUGAGGAUACCAUCAUUUGAAGUAAAUUUAUCGAUGUUUCUGCCCAUCAAAAUAAACAAACAUAUAUGCAUAUACACCAGUCAUAGCACCAAUGGCAGAAACCAAAAAUAAAAAUAGAAGAACGAGAGCAAGCAAAUCGUCGAAAGUCUCAAGUAUACUAAGUGCACGUGAGUUACUGGACACAUUAUUGAGGAGGCAGGCGGGUACUAAAUAAUCCAGAACCAUCACAAAGAAAAGCAAAAACAGGCAGAAAAAUCAGUCAGUUGGAACUGAGCAGAGCAGCGCAACAGUAUGUUGAACAACCUAAGCAAGUCUCUAUACUAAAAAAGGCAGCUUGUUUUAUAGAACAAAAGAAAAAAAAACGAAAUUAAACUUUACAAGUACAUCAGAGUUUUAUACUAAACGGAUAAAAUAUAUUUAAAUUUCCAUAAAUGUUGUGUAAAAUAUUUUAGUUUUGAGAAAUUGUGAAGCGGAUAAGGUGAAUAAUUUUGAAAGUGGUGCAAAAAUACAAACGCAUUUACACACCCUUUAGUUCUAUAGGGGUGCUAUUGGAGAGAAAGGACACUGGCCUAUCGAAGGUGACGCGACAGAAACAUCGCGGCUUCAACGCUUUGACGACGACGACUAUAUCGUUGGUUGCAGUAUUUGCAACGUCAGUCGGAAUUCACAUGCGUGAUUUUGUUGUGUUUUUAUGUGACGUUAAAUAACAACAAUAGUUUCAGCACGUUAUUUUACUAUAAAGUGUUAAUUAGGAGUUAAUUUUUAUAUUAACGAAACGCAGCAAAACAGUUUUAGAGAAAUUUCGUUUAUCGAAACUUAUGUUCAGCUAUAAAUUAUAACAUUAAAUAUUAGUACUUCGGAAAAAUAUACUACUGAAGAAACAGCGAAUAAGUCGUGAAUGAAAAACAAGUUUAUAGCACAAACAUGCAUUCAUCCACCUAAAUCUGGUUGCACAGCAAAGGACACGUAGGCAGCACAACUUGUACAGCAAAACCAAUUGUCAACCUAACUAUUACAUAGCGUACUAUCAUCUUUAGAGGUGAAAGAGGACAUAGGCCACGAAUUAUGCUGCGUGCAUCAACGAUUAGAUGAGCAGGUAUAAAGUGGACCAUUUAACGAAAAUACGUAUCUUCAUGCAUCUAUAUUUGUUAAUUCGGUAUCAAAAAGGAAAAUUCAUUUGACGGCAGCGCUGUGUGUAUUUGUUUUUUGCAAAUAAUAUUUAAAUAAAUAUAUUUACGUGAACCUGUAAAAAGUUUUUAAUUAGGUGAAAAACUGAUAAUUAUGUACAAUAAGAAAAACAAGUGAAAAAGUGAUAGAAAGUUAAUAUAACUAAGCGAAAUUGAGCGAUAUCCAAGUAAACUUCAUCGGGGGAAAAAAACCAAAAUAAAAGGAAUUGAAACUGGAAGGAUUUAUAAACGUUAGCGUGACGAAGAAAGAGGCAACCCUCAUACCGAAAUCCUAACAAUUUGAGAACCACACACAACCACAUAAACAACCAAGAUGAGGUUAUUUCCGGUGCGCUUAUCGAACAUAACGAGAAUGCUCGAUAUGUACUCCCAGUUCAAUCCAUCGCCUUUAUCGAUAAAACAAUUUAUGGAUUUCGGACAAAAUGCAUGCGAGAAGAAAUCAUAUAUUUUCCUGCGCAAAGAACUGCCCGUACGCUUGGCAAAUAUCAUGAAGGAAAUCGCCUUAUUGCCCGACCACUUGCUAAACACUCGAUCUGUGAGCCAGGUGAGCUCAUGGUAUGUACAAAGUUUCGAGGAGGUAUUGGAGUUCGAGAAGGCUGAACCGACACACGGAAAUUUAGAAAAAUUCUGCAGCACUUUGGUGCACAUACGCAAUCGUCACAGUGAUGUAGUGCAAACAAUGGCGCAGGGUGUCAUUGAGAUGAAGGAACAUCAGAGUGGUAGCGUUGAUUGUGGUAUGGAGUCAUCGAUACAAUAUUUUCUCGAUCGUCUGUAUAUGUCACGUAUCAGCAUACGCAUGCUAAUCAAUCAGCAUACCAUACUCUUUGGGCAAUUCCCCAAUGAACAAGGUCGUCAUAUCGGUUGCUUAGAUCCGGCCUGCCAGAUCUCGUCCGUGGUGAGGGAUGCGUACGAAAAUGCACGUUUUCUUUGCGAUCAAUACUACUUGAUUAGUCCCGAGCUUGAGAUUAUAGAACACAAUCCACUUGACAAAGGAAAUAAUCCUAUUCGUACAGUUUAUGUGCCAUCUCAUUUAUAUCACAUGCUUUUUGAGCUGUUUAAGAAUUCUAUGCGUGCUGUUGUUGAAAAUAAUGAUCAGGAUAAAUGUGAAAAGCUGCCACCUAUUAAAGUGCUGAUAGCCGAAGGCAAAGAAGAUAUUUGCGUAAAGAUCUCCGAUCAAGGUGGCGGCAUACCACGGUCUCAAAGUGAUCAGCUAUUCAAGUAUAUGUAUAGCACUGCGCCACAGCCAUCGAAAUCCGAUCUACACACAGUACCAUUGGCGGGCUAUGGUUAUGGUUUGCCUCUCUCACGUUUAUAUGCACGCUACUUUCACGGUGAUAUAGUGUUGCUAACGUGUGAGGGAUACGGUACUGAUGCUAUUAUUUAUUUGAAGGCGCUUUCCGAUGAAGCUAAUGAGUUGCUGCCGAUUUUCAACAAGACGAGCUCGAAAUUUUAUCGCGCCACAGUGCCUACAGGCGAUUGGUCGAAUCAGAAUUUUUCCAACCGUUGGCGUUAUAUAUAUAGCAUCUUCACGUCCAAAAACAAUUAGCGUAUGUUUUUUUAUUCAAAAAUGCUUGGCACAUUUUAAUUGGUUUUAUUUUACGACGUAAGAGCUCGGACAUGAAUGCAAGACAGAUGAAUGCAUCAGCACCAAAACGCUACAAUGACAUAUUAUAGGCCGAGCCCAGAAGAGCGGCAAUGGAUCAGCAGUCAAAGCAAACUCUAACGGGUAUCAGACCUACAAAUAUUUGAAUAUCACAAACUCAGGAUGGGCGCGUGUGCGAACGCAACAUAGCGGGAGUGAGGAGAAAAGUGUUAGAAUCUUUUGUACAGAAGAUUACUAAUAAGAGGUAGUAAUGAUUAACAUAUGAAGUACUAAUAUAUCGAAAAGCGACGCAUAAAUUAUCAAAACUUCAGACAAGUAAAUAACGGCGUUUUUUAAAGUAAAAAUUUAGCAUUAUUGCAACAAGUAGUAAGAAAUCAUAGUAUAUAGUAUAAACAUAGAGAAUUGUGAAAUUGUGUAGUAGAAGAAUAGUAUAAUUUAUGCAACAAGUAGUAAGAGAAAUUUCUAUAAACCUAGGAUCAUAACAAAAGAAAAAAAAAAAUAGACUAAAGGCUCGAAGUUUGAAAUAAUGGAAAAGUUUGUUAUUGUAAGAAAAAAGUAUGCCAAUUGUCUAGCAAUAAACAUGGAAAAGAAGCAACAACAAAUUGUACUCGAAAAGCUUUUGUACAUUUUAAAGCAAUCGUGAAGGAAUUUGAAUUUAUAUAAUUAAUUAAUGUAGCGACAACCAUUUCCAAUUGCAUACAUACACACACACACAUAUACACCUUAAUACAUGUUGUAAUCACACAAACAGUUACAAAUACAAUAACAAUUAGUAAGCUUAAUGAACAUUUUUUAAAUACUCAAGUUGUUAGCGAAAAACAUUCCCUACACAAGCCUUUGUCAUGCAGCGAUUUGUUGCACAUUUUCUUAUGUAUAAGUAUGCAUUUAGAAAAAAAAUAUAUAUAUAUAUAUA
rnacentral:misc_RNA from 1 species